CAUCUGGAGGGCCACAGUUUGAGGACCCCUGCUUUAAAGGGACACUAAAGGCCCCCAGCUCGUGGCUCCAAUGGGGGGGCUGGUGGAGGGGAGUUAUAACAGUUAAGAUAUGAUUUUAGGUUUCACUUAUUUUAAAACAUUAUGACAGUGUACGCGGAUCAGGACCCAUGGGUCUUCACAAGCUCAGUGUGCCGGAGGUGCCGAAACAUGCACCCCCUGCGAUUGUCUGGCGGUCAGCAAGACCAGACGACCAUUACUGAUAUCAAUCAGUUCUAGUUUGUUUAGUUAUCUUUUCUCUCUAAUACUUUCCUUCAUUCAAUCUUUUUAAUGGGGC